AGCUUUGAGCAGUGGUCAUAUCAUAGCCAAUGAGGCUUAUCUGAGGUGUGAUUAUUGCUAACUGAAAACUUUUCCCAAUUACCCCACCAUGACACUUGGAAAGUGGCUCUAGGGUAAAAAUUAUUAAUUUAGAAACCAAA